GCUGGGCGUGGUGGCGCAUGCCUGUAAUCCCAGCAGCUCAGGAGGCUGAGGCAGGAGAAUUGUGAAUUCAAAGCCAGCCUCAGCAACUGAGUGGGAGGCCCUAAGCACUCAGCAAGACCUUGUCUCUA
rnacentral:sRNA from 1 species